rnacentral:rRNA from 1 species
AGUGAACGCUGGCGGUAGGCCUAACACAUGCAAGUCGAACGGCAGCACAGUAAGAGCUUGCUCUUACGGGUGGCGAGUGGCGGACGGGUGAGGAAUACAUCGGAAUCUACUUUUUCGUGGGGGAUAACGUAGGGAAACUUACGCUAAUACCGCAUACGACCUACGGGUUAAAGCAGGGGAUCUUCGGACCUUGCGCGUUUGAAUGAGCCGAUGUCGGAUUAGCUAGUUGGCGGGGUAAAGGCCCACCAAGGCGACGAUCCGUAGCUGGUCUGAGAGGAUGAUCAGCCACACUGGAACUGAGACACGGUCCAGACUCCUACGGGAGGCAGCAGUGGGGAAUAUUGGACAAUGGGCGCAAGCCUGAUCCAGCCAUACCGCGUGGGUGAAGAAGGCCUUCGGGUUGUAAAGCCCUUUUGUUGGGAAAGAAAAGCAGCAGGUUAAUACCCCGAUGUUCUGACGGUACCCAAAGAAUAAGCACCGGCUAACUUCGUG